GACGAACGCUGGCGGCGUGCUUAACACAUGCAAGUCGAACGGAAAGGCCCUGCUUGCAGGGUACUCGAGUGGCGAACGGGUGUGUAACACGUGGGUGAUCUGCCCUGCACUUCGGGAUAAGCUUGGGGAACUGGGUCUAAUACCGGAUAGGAGCCAUCUUUAGUGUGGUGGUUGGAAAGUUUUUUCGGUGUAGGAUGAGCUUGCGGCCUAUCAGCUUGUUGGUGGGGUAAUGGCCUACCAAGGCGGCGACGGGUAGCCGGCCUGAGAGGGUGUACGGCCACAUUGGAACUGAGAGACAGGCCAGACUCCGAAGGGAGGCAGCAGGGGGGAAUAUUGCACAAUGGGCGCAAGCGUGAGGCAGGGACGCCGCGUGGGGGAUGAAGGCUUUUGGGUUGUAAGAUCCUUUCGCUAGUGACGAAGCUUUUUUGUGACGGUACCUAAAGAAGAAGCACCGGCUAACUACGUG
rnacentral:rRNA from 1 species